rnacentral:lncRNA from 1 species
CCGGCGGCGGUGGCGGCGGCUGGAGGUGCAGCCUCCCAGGUGGGAGGCGGGGGCUGCGGGCGCAGGAAAAGGCGCCUUGUGAGCGGGCGCUCAGCGGGGCCUCUUCGGGCUGGGCACCGCGCAGCGAGUGGGAGCGAGCGCGCCGGGAGCACGCAGGCGCUCUGCUCUGGCUGGCCCUCGGCCCGCGCGCGGCGCGGGAGCAGCCCGCCCCCCGCCCCCUGCGCCCCGCAGCCC